CCUACGGGUGGCAGCAGUGGGGAAUAUUGGGCAAUGGGCGAAAGCCUGACCCAGCAACGCCGCGUGAAGGAAGAAGGCUUUCGGGUUUUAAACUUCUUUUUGCAGGGAAGAGCAGAAGACGGUACCUGUCGAAUAAGCCACGGCUAACUACGUGCCAGCGGCCGCGGUAAUACGUGGGUGGCAAGCGUUUUCCGGAUUUACUGGGUGGAAAGGUCGUGUAGCCGGGCUGGCAAGGCAGAUGUGAAAUCCGGGGGCGCAACCCCCGAACUGCAGUUGAAACUGUGGGUCUUGAGUAUCGGAGAGGCAGGCGGAAUUCGUAGUGUAGCGGUGAAAUGCGUAGAUAUUAGGAGGAACAC
rnacentral:rRNA from 1 species